GUCCACGCCCUAAACGAUGUCAACUGGUUGUUGGGUCUUCACUGACUCAGUAACGAAGCUAACGCGUGAAGUUGACCGCCUGGGGAGUACGGCCGCAAGGUUAAAACUCAAAGGAAUUGACGGGGACCCGCACAAGCGGUGGAUGAUGUGGUUUAAUUCGAUGCAACGCGAAAAACCUUAACCCACCUUUGACAUGUACGGAAUCCUUUAGAGAUAGAGGAGUGCUCGAAAGAGAGCCGCAACACAGGUGCUGCAUGGCUGUCGU
rnacentral:rRNA from 1 species